AUUGAACGCUGGCGGCAGGCCUAACACAUGCAAGUCGAGCGGAGGAAGGGAGCUUGCUCCUGGAUUCAGCGGCGGACGGGUGAGUAAUGCCUAGGAAUCUGCCUGGUAGUGGGGGAUAACGUCCGGAAACGGGCGCUAAUACCGCAUACGUCCUGAGGGAGAAAGUGGGGGACCUUCGGACCUCACGCUAUCAGAUGAGCCUAGGUCGGAUUAGCUAGUUGGUGGGGUAAAGGCCUACCAAGGCAACGAUCCGUAACUGGUCUGAGGGGAUGAUCAGUCACACUGGAACUGUGAAACGGUCCAAACUCCUACGGGAGGCAGCGGUGCGGAAUAUUGGACUAUGGGCCAAAGCGUGAACCAGCCAUGCCGCGUGGGUGAAGAAGGUCUUCAGAUUGUAAAGUACUUUAAGUUUGGAGGAAGGGCAGUAAGUUAAUACCUUGCUGUUUUGACGGUACCAACAGAGUAAGCACCGGCUAACUACGUG
rnacentral:rRNA from 1 species